GAUGAACGCUGGCGGCGUGCCUAAUACAUGCAAGUCGAGCGAACAGACGAGGAGCUUGCUCCUCUGACGUUAGCGGCGGACGGGUGAGUAACACGUGGAUAACCUACCUAUAAGACUGGGAUAACUUCGGGAAACCGGAGCUAAUACCGGAUAAUAUAUUGAACCGCAUGGUUCAAUAGUGAAAGACGGUUUUGCUGUCACUUAUAGAUGGAUCCGCGCCGCAUUAGCUAGUUGGUAAGGUAACGGCUUACCAAGGCAACGAUGCGUAGCCGACCUGAGAGGGUGAUCGGCCACACGGGAACUGAGACACGGUCCAGACUCCUACGGGAGGCAGCAGUAGGGAAUCUUCCGCAAUGGGCGAGAGCUUGACGGAGCAACGCCGCGUGAGUGAUGAAGGUCUUCGGAUCGUAAAACUCUGUUAUUAGGGAAGAACAAAUGUGUAAGUAACUAUGCACGUCUUGACGGUACCUAAUCAGAAAGCCACGGCUAACUACGUG
rnacentral:rRNA from 1 species